rnacentral:rRNA from 1 species
AUACGGAGGAUCCGAGCGUUAUCCGGAUUUAUUAAGUUUAAAGGGUGCGCAGGCGGCCAUUUAAGUCAGCGGUUAAAUCGUGGGGCUCAACCCCAUUCUGCCGUUGAUACUGGGUGGCUUGAUUGCGGUCGAGGUUGGCGGAAUUCGUUGUGUAGCGGUGAAAUGCAUAGAUAUGACGAAGAACACCGAUUGCGUAGGCAGCUGACCAGACCGCAAAUGACGCUCAUGCACGAAAGUGCGGGGAUCGAACAGGAUUAGAUACCCUGGUAGUCCGCACAGUAAACGAUGAAUACUUGUUUUCGGCGAUAUAAUGUCGGAGGCAAAGCGAAAGCGAUAAGUAUUCCACCUGGGGAGUACGCCGGCAACGGUGAAACUCAAAUGAAUUGACGGGG